rnacentral:rRNA from 1 species
AUUGAACGCUGGCGGCAGGCCUAACACAUGCAAGUCGAGCGGAUGAAGGGAGCUUGCUCCUGGAUUCAGCGGCGGACGGGUGAGUAAUGCCUAGGAAUCUGCCUGGUAGUGGGGGAUAACGUCCGGAGACGGGCGCUAAUACCGCAUACGUCCUGAGGGAGAAAGUGGGGGAUCUUCGGACCUCACGCUAUCAGAUGAGCCUAGGUCGGAUUAGCUAGUUGGUGGGGUAAAGGCCUACCAAGGCGACGAUCCGUAACUGGUCUGAGAGGAUGAUCAGUCACACUGGAACUGAGACACGGUCCAGACUCCUACGGGAGGCAGCAGUGGGGAAUAUUGGACAAUGGGCGAAAGCCUGAUCCAGCCAUGCCGCGUGUGUGAAGAAGGUCUUCGGAUUGUAAAGCACUUUAAGUUGGGAGGAAGGGCAGUAAGUUGAUACCUUGCUGUUUUGACGUUACCAACAGAAUAAGCACCGGCUAACUUCGUG